rnacentral:rRNA from 1 species
UUGAUACUUAGCGGCGGACGGGUGAGUAACACGUAGGCAACCUGCCCUCAAGUUUGGGACAACUACCGGAAACGGUAGCUAAUACCGAAUAGUUGUUUUCUUCGCCUGAAGGAAACUGGAAAGACGGAGCAAUCUGUCACUUGGGGAUGGGCCUGCGGCGCAUUAGCUAGUUGGUGGGGUAACGGCUCACCAAGGCGACGAUGCGUAGCCGACCUGAGAGGGUGAUCGGCCACACUGGGACUGAGACACGGCCCAGACUCCUACGGGAGGCAGCAGUAGGGAAUCUUCCGCAAUGGGCGAAAGCCUGACGGAGCAAUGCCGCGUGAGUGAUGAAGGUUUUCGGAUCGUAAAGCUCUGUUGCCAGGGAAGAACGCUUGGGAGAGUAACUGCUCUCAAGGUGACGGUACCUGAGAAGAAAGCCCCGGCUAACUACGUGCCAGCAGCCGCGGUAAUACGUAGGGGGCAAGCGUUGUCCGGAAUUAUUGGGCGUAAAGCGCGCGCAGGCGGUCAUUUAAGUCUGGUGUUUAAUCCCGGGGCUCAACCCCGGAUCGCACUGGAAACUGGGUGACUUGAGUGCAGAAGAGGAGAGUGGAAUUCCACGUGUAGCGGUGAAAUGCGUAGAUAUGUGGAGGAACACCAGUGGCGAAGCGACUCUCUGGGCUGUAACUGACGCUGAAGCGCGAAAGCGUGGGGGAGCAACAG